rnacentral:rRNA from 1 species
UACGUAGGGUGCAAGCGUUGUCCGGAAUUAUUGGGCGUAAAGAGCUCGUAGGCGGUUUGUCGCGUCUGACUGUGAAAACUCGGGGCUUAACCCCGGGCCUCGCAGUGGUGACGGGCUAGACUAGAGUGCGGUAGGGGAGACUGGAAUUCCUGGUGUAGCGGUGAAAUGCGCAGAUAUCAGGAGGAACACCGGUGGCGAAGGCGGGUCUCUGGGCCGUAACUGACGCUGAGGAGCGAAAGCGUGGGGAGCGAACAGG